rnacentral:rRNA from 1 species
UUAGUGGCGGACGGGUGAGUAACGCGUGGGCAACCUGCCUUACACAGGGGGAUAACACUUAGAAAUAGGUGCUAAAACCGCAUAAGCGCACAGCUUCGCAUGAAGCGGUGUGAAAAACUCCGGUGGUGUAAGAUGGACCCGCGUCUGAUUAGCUUGUUGGCGGGGUAACGGCCCACCAAGGCGACGAUCAGUAGCCGGCCUGAGAGGGCGGACGGCCACAUUGGGACUGAGACACGGCCCAGACUCCUACGGGAGGCAGCAG